rnacentral:rRNA from 1 species
GUCCACGCCCUAAACGAUGAAUACUCGGUGUCGGGUCGCAAGAUUCGGCGCCUAAGCAAACGCAUUAAGUAUUCCACCUGGGAAGUACGAUCGCAAGGUUGAAACUCAAAGGAAUUGACGGGGCCCGCACAAGCAGUGGAGCAUGUGGUUUAAUUCGAUGCAACGCGAAGAACCUUACCUGGGCUUGAAAGGCAAGAUUAUAAUUCCUGAAAAGGGAGUUACCCGCAAGGGGUCUUGUACAGGUGCUGCAUGGCUGUCGU